AGACUACGCCCGUAGAAGACACAGGCUCUCAGUAGUGGACGGGGGUUCAAUUCCCCCCAUCUCCACCA
rnacentral:tmRNA from 1 species